rnacentral:rRNA from 1 species
GUGUCAGCAGCCGCGGUAAGACAGAGGUCCCAAGCGUUAGGCGGAAUCACUGGGCUUAAAGCGUGUGUAGGCGGAUUAGCAAGUACUUUGUGAAAUCCCACGGCUUAACCGUGGAACUGCUUGGUAUACUGCUAGUCUUGAGGCAUCUAGAGGCAACUGGAACAAACGGUGGAGCGGUGAAAUGCGUAGAUAUCGUUUGGAACGCCCAAGGUGAAAACAGGUUGCUGGGGAUGUACUGACGCUGAGACACGAAAGCCAGGGGAGCAAACGGGAUUAGAUACCCCCGUAGUCC